UAUUCAAUUUUGUUUGUUUAUAUUUAUGGAAAUCUUGAACGUGAUGAUACUCUGAAUUGAUCAUGCCCUUCAUUUUUUUUUAGUAAUAACUUAAUUGUGGCUUAAAUUGAGGUUGAUUAACUGAAUUACUUAACUUUAGAAUUUGCUUAUUGUAAGCAUAUAUUAUCAUUAACUUUGAUUGAUUUGCUAAUGAUCCUCAUAAUUGAUUAAGUUAGCAUUUGGCGGAUUCCAACAUUUUGGCUGAUUAUGGUAAAUUAUUUUAAUAUAUGAAUAUUGUGUUGGGCUGUAAUUGUGUCCUACCUUAAUUAAAUGCUUGUCUGCUUGAUUAUAUAGUCAUAGAUGCUUUAAAUUAGCCUUCUUGCCGUAAUUAUAAAAAUCAAUUGCCACUUGAUUACAUAUUGGGUAAAAAUCGAUUGAUUUUAUUCAUUAUUUGUUUAAGGAAAAUAAUUCUAAUUGUCUCCUUAAUUAUUUCUUUUCCUUUUAUGUUGUGCCCUCUCUUUUGUAUAUAAAUAAGGUUCAUAAUUCCAUAUAACACACGGUGGAACACCUCUACACUCUCACAUCCUAACUUGUGCUCACAUACUAAAAUACUAAAAUAUAUAUUACUCUCUGCUUGAAAAGAUUUUCGGGUGAACUUUUAAGAAGUAUUUUGCUGUGUUCGGGUCGAAUAGUGUGGAAUCAACUUGCCUUCAUUGCUGAUAUAUUUUUUAACUGCUUAACCAGUUGGUGCUCUUCAUACAUGUAUUUAAUUUCUAUUUUGCAUCACUAUUUAAUUUCUGUUUUGCAUCACUACUUAAUUACUUUUUAUGCAUAAAUCCAAAAAUGGAUUUUAUUAAGUAAAGGAAGCGUUCGGGUCAGUUCUCUUCUCCCUUUUAUAUGUGUAUGUCUGUCUAUGUGCAAUAUAUUGUUUGAAGUAAUACGUAUGUCCUAUUCUGGUUGAGUUCAUGAAAAAUAAUUGUUAUUACAUGUGUUGUAUAUUACUUGGGUUGUAUUGUUACUUUCUUUAACAGGGUUUGAACUUAAAGGUUCAAGACAUGAAGAGUCGCCUAGGGUGGGAUACCGGAAAAAACUAAUUUUAUUUAGUAGUUUAUUUUUAUUUUGUAUUAUGUCGUUUAUUAUUUCUUUCAUUCGGUUUGUAAUGUAUUGUAUAACUCUAAACUCUCCUAUAUAUGAUUAACUUGGGGAUCGUCUAAGGGGAGGGGGAUAUACGUGCUAACUGUUUUCUUUAUUUUUUUAUUUUUUUUUACGUGUGAUUGUUAUAAAAAUAUGUCUAUAUUCGCUUAGCCAUAAAAACUGGGUAAAUGUGUUAUAACAACCAACCUAAAAUCAAG
rnacentral:lncRNA from 1 species